GACGAACGCUGGCGGCGUGCCUAAUACAUGCAAGUUGAGCGCUGAAGGUUGGUACUUGUACCAACUGGAUGAGCAGCGAACGGGUGAGUAACGCGUGGGGAAUCUGCCUUUGAGCGGGGGACAACAUUUGGAAACGAAUGCUAAUACCGCAUAAAAACUUUAAACACAAGUUUUAAGUUUGAAAGAUGCAAUUGCAUCACUCAAAGAUGAUCCCGCGUUGUAUUAGCUAGUUGGUGAGGUAAAGGCUCACCAAGGCGGUGAUACAUAGCCGACCUGAGAGGGUGAUCGGCCACAUUGGGACUGAGACACGGCCCAAACUCCUACGGGAGGCAGCAGUAGGGAAUCUUCGGCAAUGGACGAAAGUCUGACCGAGCAACGCCGCGUGAGUGAAGAAGGUUUUCGGAUCGUAAAACUCUGUUGGUAGAGAAGAACGUUGGUGAGAGUGGAAAGCUCAUCAAGUGACGGUAACUACCCAGAAAGGGACGGCUAACUACGUG
rnacentral:rRNA from 1 species